rnacentral:rRNA from 1 species
GAUCCGGCUCAGGAUGAACGCUAGCGGCAGGCCUAACACAUGCAAGUCGAGGGGCAGCACGGUGUAGCAAUACACUGGUGGCGACCGGCGCACGGGUGCGUAACGCGUAUGCAACCUACCCAUAACAGGGGGAUAACACUGAGAAAUUGGUACUAAUACCCCAUAACAUCAGGACCGGCAUCGGUUCUGGUUGAAAACUCCGGUGGUUAUGGAUGGGCAUGCGUUGUAUUAGCUGGUUGGUGAGG